AUCUGGCUGUAGACCCCCCACAUCUGGCUGGCUCUAGACCCCCACAUCUGGCUCUAGACCCCCCACAUCUGGCUGGCUACCCCUUACGCCCGGCCUUAGCUAUAGACGCAGCCCCUCUCCUCUAGCUGUGGACUGUGCCUUCUAUCCCCAGUCCAGGGGCCCGGGCCGACUCGGGCCCUCCAUCUCUCACAGGCACGCCUUCAGGCACGCACACACAAACUGGGGCGCACGCACGCACUCACUCGGGUGCGUGCGCACACACCCACGCUUGCACGCGCACACACACACAAAAACAAAC